UUUUUUUUUGCUUUGAAAUCUGCCAGCUCUUGGAAUCAGCCUCUACCAGGCCCCUCGGGUUUCGGGCUGGAGGAAGUGAGCAGGGAAGGUGGUUGGAGAUUUCUCAUUCUCCGAGGAAUAUGUUCGAUACAGACACCGCGGGUCUCCUUGUUAUGCUAGAAACCAGCGGUUGUUUGCACGUAAGGAGCUACCACACGGUAAUGAGGUGCAGCCAGAGGCAAAAUGACAUUUGGCGACGUCUUUUGUGUACUGCAGCCAGUGACUCUGAAUGGGAACUCCGGAGUAGCAUGCAGGGCUACAGAAUCACGUCUUGGAUCAAUGUGCCGCAGACACAGACUUCAUGGCCUGUAGUUAGAAACGGCUUCUUUCUCCAGUGUCAACCCCGCCGUAAAACACACCUAAAGGUCUAACAGGCAGAAUUGGUCACUUCAGGAUUGUUUGUAGAACACUGCUGCGAGGAGCGUUCUGUAGGCCGGCAGA
ensembl:lincRNA Gm15966 predicted gene 15966